rnacentral:rRNA from 1 species
UGCAGUCGAGCGAAUGGAUUAAGAGCUUGCUCUUAUGAAGUUAGCGGCGGACGGGUGAGUAACACGUGGGUAACCUGCCCAUAAGACUGGGAUAACUCCGGGAAACCGGGGCUAAUACCGGAUAACAUUUUGAACCGCAUGGUUCGAAAUUGAAAGGCGGCUUCGGCUGUCACUUAUGGAUGGACCCGCGUCGCAUUAGCUAGUUGGUGAGGUAACGGCUCACCAAGGCAACGAUGCGUAGCCGACCUGAGAGGGUGAUCGGCCACACUGGGACUGAGACACGGCCCAGACUCCUACGGGAGGCAGCAGUAGGGAAUCUUCCGCAAUGGACGAAAGUCUGACGGAGCAACGCCGCGUGAGUGAUGAAGGCUUUCGGGUCGUAAAACUCUGUUGUUAGGGAAGAACAAGUGCUAGUUGAAUAAGCUGGCACCUUGACGGUACCUAACCAGAAAGCCACGGCUAACUACGUGCCAGCAGCCGCGGUAAUACGUAGGUGGCAAGCGUUAUCCGGAAUUAUUGGGCGUAAAGCGCGCGCAGGUGGUUUCUUAAGUCUGAUGUGAAAGCCCACGGCUCAACCGUGGAGGGUCAUUGGAAACUGGGAGACUUGAGUGCAGAAGAGGAAAGUGGAAUUCCAUGUGUAGCGGUGAAAUGCGUAGAGAUAUGGAGGAACACCAGUGGCGAAGGCGACUUUCUGGUCUGUAACUGACACUGAGGCGCGAAAGCG